CCCUGGUAGUCCACGCCGUAAACGAUGUCGACUUGGAGGUUGUGCCCUUGAGGCGUGGCUUCCGGAGCUAACGCGUUAAGUCGACCGCCUGGGGAGUACGGCCGCAAGGUUAAAACUCAAAUGAAUUGACGGGGGCCCGCACAAGCGGUGGAGCAUGUGGUUUAAUUCGAUGCAACGCGAAGAACCUUACCUACUCUUGACAUCCAGAGAACUUAGCAGAGAUGCUUUGGUGCCUUCGGGAACUCUGAGACAGGUGCUGCAUGGCUGUCGUCAGCUCGUGUUGUGAAAUGUUGGGUUAAGUCCCGCAACGAGCGCAACCCUUAUCCUUUGUUGCCAGCGGUCCGGCCGGGAACUCAAAGGAGACUGCCAGUGAUAAACUGGAGGAAGGUGGGGAUGACGUCAAGUCAUCAUGGCCCUUACGAGUAGGGCUACACACGUGCUACAAUGGCAUAUACAAAGAGAAGCGACCUCGCGAGAGCAAGCGGACCUCAUAAAGUAUGUCGUAGUCCGGAUUGGAGUCUGCAACUCGACUCCAUGAAGUCGGAAUCGCUAGUAAUCGUAGAUCAGAAUGCUACGGUGAAUACGUUCCCGGGCCUUGUACACACCGCCCGUCACACCAUGGGAGUGGGUUGCAAAAGAAGUAGGUAGCUUAACCUUCGGGAGGGCGCUUACCACUUUGUGAUUCAUGACUGGGGUGAAGUCGUAACAAGGUAACCGUAGGGGAACCUGCGGUUGGAUCACCUCCUUACCUUAAAGAA
rnacentral:rRNA from 1 species